UUCAGCCCCGUGCCAUCCUUGCUGUGGGCUGAGCUCACCGCCCGACGGCCCCGGCUGCGGCUGCCCGGGAGGCCCGGCCCACCCGCCGGCCACAAAGCCGCCGCCGCUCUCGAAAUGGAGGCCUGAGGGCGAUGGCGGCUUCACUCCCGUUGAGAACUAUGUGAAUCGGCCGCCAUUUUUUAAGAGGGCGCUCGUCGGGGCGUGCCCUGCGGCUUCAGCCUCUGCGGAGGAUGAGCCUUUGCGUUCGGGAAUAGGGGGAGAUAGUCACCAACUAGGAACAGCACCGAGUGGGGCACUGAGGGGGUGCGGUGCCUGAGGUCUCAGGGGUUUUCAACAGUGUAGGAAUCUGGAAGAUCCACCUUGUUUCCAUAUUAGAACAAAAUGUAGGAAGCAUUUACCAUAUCCUCAACAGAGGUGUUGCAGUCAUCCUUGCCCAUCCAUCAUUGCCUUGUCAUCCCUGGUAUCUCAGUGGCUGUGGGUACGUUGCCCUGAAAAAGAGGUGGUGGAGAAAUGUUUGAGGAUCAGAGGAGAAAACAGUACAAAAAGGAAAAGCAACCACAUUGUAAAACUGGAAAAGGCUCACAUCAUACAGAGGAGUACAGUAAGGCUAUCAAAGGCACCUAAUAUUCUUUUUUUUAAACUUGUUGAAAGAGACAGAACUGCAAAACUUGCUUUCCAGGUAGCUUGAAUGAAUGGAUGAAUGGCACAGAAAGAUCAAGCUUGAAUGAAGUCUCAGUGAAGAAAUACCAUUACAGAUUACAUAGGUCUUCUUGAUAUGCAAAGUUAUUUGAUGUAGAAUCACAGGAAUUACAGUGAAAAGUGGUUCAGAGAUCGUCGCUACAGUCAGCUAGUUGUGCUACACAGUGAAAUAAUGAUGAAGGAAGAACAUCCAUCAGCCUGCUUAACUGCCUCUCUUGAAGACUAGAGCUACUGGCAGUUGACAUUUUUAUAGGAGUAUGUGUUCUGCCUUUGCGUUUGCCUCUGUUCAGCAGGUUUAAAGAUCUAUGUGGAUCUGUUUUAGAACUGGUCUCAAAACUAUCUACCUACAAAGACACUCUGGUAUACAUAUCUAGUAUCCCAAAUACCAGGUGUUCCAGACAAUGUGGGUUUUAAAGUUACACAUUUCUUCUUAGUGACAAUGAAAAAUCCAUUUCUACUCACCUCUCAGAGACUGACUGGGAGUAACUGUAAAGCAAAAAGUAACUGUGGUUACUUAAUUGACUGUUAAGGGACAGAAUAUUAAAUCUCUAUUUACUCAACCGAAGCUGGGACAUGUCUCCCAAUUUCCUGAGUAUUUCACUAGAAUACAUUGGGUUUUACUGUAGUUAAAUAUGCAACUCAAUUAGUUCAAUCUUUCCUAUAGAAAUUGUCUGCUACAAUUGUAGAACUGUUGUCAGCAUAGUUAAGCUUCCAUCUAAAUUCUGUCUUUAGUCCUGUUGUUUUAUUUUAGUAAAUUUGUUUGACCUGAAAAAUUGGACAGAGUAGUUCUGAGUUCCAGAUGAUGAAGAAAAAAAAAUCCUGGUGCUGUGCAACUUUGACAUAUGUUUUAAAAUUUCUUCAACCCAAAAUAUUCAAGUUAAGUUAUUUAGAACUAUAGCCACUAUAGUCUGAUACCCAACCUUGUAGGCUCUGCAUCUUAGGAUCCACUAGUUCAAAAGAAUCUAUUUCUAUCUUACCUUGCCUUCCACUCUUAAAACUCCUGGGAAAAUAAUUAAUGAGAUAUUUUACUUGAACAGAGGUUGUAAUUAAAUAAAACUAUACAUAAUUAUGAUGAGUGCAGUAAGCAUCCUGGUCAUUUACUGGAAUACUUCGGAUCAGGAGAAGCCUUAGGACUUGGUUCCAAAUUUGUACAUGCUGGAUCACCUUUCAGUACAGAUUUCAUCUAGAUCAAGCGUGAAUACAGCACUGCAUUUCCAUCACACUACCAGAGCACUGAAUACAGUGUUUAUGUCUCUUAUAUGGUGGCUAUCCUUUUUCAUACUGUCUAUAUGAGGACAAAAGAUGCUCGAUUCAGCAGGAAGUGAAAAAUUGCUUGGUGAGAUAAUACCUGAUCCGAUAUCAAAUCCUCUAGGAUAGAGUUAGCCUUCACAUUUUUUACAUACACUUGAAGUUGUGUGGUGGGCUUGUAUGAGCUCAGGACUUUGCAUCACGUGGCUGUAAUGUUUUUGAUCCAAUACUACUAGAUUUCGUAAGAGAGAUUGACAGCCUUGUGAAAUUAUGGCCUUACAGUCUGUUCCUAUCAAUCAAGCAGAGGAAACAUGUCUUCAGAAACCAGGUAUAGGACUUGCUUUUUUUAUUAAAGCACUCGAGUAACAAUUUCAGCUGCACUGUAUAAAGAUUGCUAACAAGAAUGAUUCUGAGCUAGUGCGCUGUGAAAAUUACUUAAACAGGGACAUUUUCAUUCUCAAGGUAGAAUGUGUCACGUGUCCAUUAUUUAAUCUCAGGGUGCAGGAGAAGUUUCUCGGUGUGCUGUAAACUGAUUAUACAGUUACAUUAUAAAUCCUUAAAAAUAUGUCAGUUUUUCUCGUGGGAAUCUAAAAUUAGCAUCUUCUGUCUGUAUUUCAUUUUCUAAAUACAUUGUUUGAUUUUGGGCAAUAGUAAUCAACAGCUACCAGUAAGUUCAUUAGGAACUAUCAGGUGUCACUUUUGAAAAUACAGUUGCUUAUUCAAUGUCUAUCUUACUGUCUUAUUCCUAGCCUACCAAAUAACAUGAUAAAAAAUCUACCUGAUCUGAAUAAUGCAUUCCAGAGUUUUUAUAGGACACUGAGAGCUAACUUUACCUAGGGUAGGAUUAAAGCAUAGAUACUAUAGCCCAGUGCUGUCUACAUUCUGGAACAAUGUACUUAAAUAAAAAUGUCUGACUUAUGUUUAAAAUUUAAAAGCAAAUUUCCAGUCUUGUGGUUGUGAAGGAAAUACUGCAAUCAUAAAUUAGGUAUGACUGAUUGAGGGUGCUUAAUCUCUCAGCCUAAAUAAGUAGUGUGAGCAGCAACUACCACUUAGUUUGUGAACUAAGUUUAACUACCAUUUAGUCAAAGAACUCUGUGAACAGACAAAAGAAGUCACAGAUGGCUUUUUUCGCCCACAGAUAAAUGCAUAGCUUGGCUACUGAGAAGCACUAUGUAUGUAUACCUCUUCCUGCUGCUCCUGCUUCUUCUCUGAAGGGAGGUGGGGAUUCCUGUAGUCACUUCUUUGUUCCUGAGUCAUCCCCCGAGGGCUGUCUGGGAGUAGAUAACAGAGUCUGUGCCACUGUUCUUGCCAGGAUGGUGGGGAAGGCAACUCCUGCCACCACAACCCUGGUCACGAUAUACCUGUGUCCAUAGACUACUUCAAGGACUAAGAGAAGAUGCCCCAGAAAUAUAGGGACAGUACACUGGGAUUUGUCAGACAGGUCUUUUAGGCUGAGAACUUGCUGAACCCCACUGUAGAAUAUAAAGGAGAAUAAAAAGCCGCUGGGUCUUUGCAGUAUAGAAACCUACAGGAUGACAAGGAUAUCUUAAAAUAACCAGAAGCCCUGAGUGGUCAUGGUUAGUACAAGCAGUCAUGAAUCUGCAGUCUUCACCUGAUACUUAGAAGAUUAACACCUCCUUCCCUCUGCUUAAGUACAACUGUUCUAAAUGACUGUGUGUAAAGACCUUUACAUCUUAAUACAUUAUUCAAGUUAUGAUCAAAUUGGUGUAACAGAUUGUAUGAUUUUUCAGGGAACUAGAAUACUAAUGGGGUAAAACCUGUUGCAGAAGGACAGAUAAGAAAAUAAGCAAAGACUUAUCUUUGCUAUGAGCUGCAGAAGGUAGAUCUUCUGCUGAAGAUCUCUGGACAAAGAAUAAAGGAAAUAUGUAUGUGAAUUACCACUGUGGGAACCUAUUACAGAUCAGCAAACCAGAAGUUCUUACUACUUGUGAGCAAGUAGACGAGUGAUCCAGAGCAAUUAUUUGAUAGUAAUGUAUAUUAUUAAUUAGGCUUAUUAAUUGUUGGGGAAAGAACACAGUUCAACACAGAUUGUCCAGUAAGGUCCUACAAUGCUCUUGUUUUCCUGAAAAGCGGGAAAAAAUGAGAGUGGGCAAGACUUGGAAAAAAUAAAAACAAAAAAGGAGGCAGUGAGCUAAGACCAUCAAGCAAUAGUACCUGUAUAUUUAACUACAUUAGCAAUAACAUGAAUAUCAAAAGAAUUAUCCCACUGAUCAAUGCAUAAGAAAGUUAUCAAGAGAUUUAACAUUUUAAUGCUUUUUUUGCAUCAGCUUUCACCACCAAGGUCAGCUGCGAUCAGAUGGUAGCACAAUUGCAUAGUUAAAGGAGUAAGUACUCAACCAAGAAUAAGAAAGACCAGAUUAGAAAAUACUUUGUGUACUCUCAAAUUGUCUGAAACUGAGGAACCUCAGUCGAGGACACUUAAAGCACUGGGUGGAUUAGUUAGCAGCUAUCUUUGACAAAUUGUGAAAAGUAAUGAGAUAUUAGAAAAGGCAAAACAUUGUACUUAUAUUUAAAAAGGGGCAAAAGAGGAAUCCGGGAAUUCUAAACCAAUCAGCCUAAUGCCUUUUGGAAGGUGUUGGAAUAAAAUGAAUGAGUUUUAGAGGUUGUUUAAAAACAAGCUAACUAAAGUUUCAAAGAGCAUGUCAGGAAUGAUAAAGAUGUAAUUCAUUUUGCAUUGGGCUAAAGCAAUGGGCUACAUGUCCCUGAGAGAUCCCUUUCAGCCUUAGCAUUCCAUGUCUUUUCCACCACCUAAUUAGUUCUGUGAGAUUUCAGCCUUGUGAAGCAGAGGACCAGUCUCUGUCCUAAUUACUUCACCUUUCCAAAUUGCCUCAGAAAUAUCUUUUUAACAUGAAAACUGCUUGCUCAGAUGUUUUUAGCUGUGCCUGUUCAGUUAUAAUAUUUAUUUUCAGUAUCCUUCUGUAGAUUAAGGAUUAGGACAUCCUAGUGAGGUCUUAAAUUAAGUCUUAUAAACAAUAGUGCUAGAGUGUGUUUCUACAGACAGAAGAUUACUGUGUUGUUAACUAGCUUGAGCUAGCUAGCUUAAUACCAGGCAGAAUGGAGCACAGAUUGCUUUCUCAAAUGGCUGAAUGAAUAACUUGACUAAUCCAUUCAUGGCAGGAGGGUAAGAGGCUGAUGUGUCAUUUGGAUACCAUUUCCUCAAAAAGCAGCAGGAACUCUUCGUAUGUGAACUGAGCCGUUGUCACUUAUGGUCUGUUCAGGGAAUUCUUUUUCAUGGGCCUUAUUACUUUCACUAUUUCCAGUUCUUUGCAUAGAAUGCUUAAGACUAUUUUAGAUGCCUUUUGCACCUAAAGAUACAGCACAGUAGUUGAAAUUGAAUUAAUUAUUAAUUCUCCAAUCAGUAUCUGAAAAGUACCACAAUAUUUGUUUGAUGUUCUAAAAAGAGCUGUAUGGCAUACUGUCACAUGCUGACCCCUUCUGAUCAUUCCGAGUGCACAGACUGCUACAGAGUAAUUAGCCAUUCCCAAAGGUGCAAGACAGUUUCUUUUGCAUGUGUUGUGGUUGUCAUUCUCCUUGACUUUGUAAUUUCUGUUUAUUUGCAGAAGAUGCUACACUAUGUGGGUAACAAUGACUGUCAUUUUACCAGUCCCAGUGGUAAGUUUCCCAUGAAUAAAAUAAGUUUCCCAGGAAUAACUGUUUAGGUGCUGCAAGCUAUCUUUGGUAUGUUCUAAACUGUAAUUUUAAGCAAAUAAAGAUAGAAUAAGUUGUUCACUUAAGCAAAUCCUUUUUUCUCAUUAUAAUACCAUAUAUGUUAGCCAGCACUAGCACACUUUUUGUUUCAUGUUGCAUCUCUCUUUCCACAGUAUUCAGCUUGUGCUAUACACAACAGGUGAGCUGCUUCUAGUUAUGUAUCUUAAUAAUCCUACCUGCCAUCACUGAUGGCAAAUGUGAGAAGUCCAUUACUCUGCUUGUUGUUACUUUUUAUCUCUUUUUCAGCAAGUGUUCAAAAACAUUUGUUUCUCUUAAUUGGACAUCUGCCGUUCCAGGUAUUCCUUUUUUUGAUUACAAAUCAGGGUAGAUGGUCCAAGUCACAUCCUUCCUAGCUUCCCUUCCAGGCUCACAUUAGCACCCCUGCUGAGGUAUACUCUUUCUGUCAUGUGGUGGGUAAAAGAGGGCACCCGGAUCCAGCUACCACUCAACAUAGGAGCCGUCUCCAACACUGAAAACUAAAAUUUGUAGAUAUUACCUCCAGGUGAAGUAAAUUGCUUUCCAUAUCAAUACUGGUGAUAUUUUCCAGUUCUCAGUUGUCAGAAAUUCUUAUCAAUGCAAACAUGGUUGUGUUCUACAGAGGUAAGAGGUUUAGAGUUAAAAAUAUAAAAGCCUUCAGUAUCACCUUAAGAUAUUUAAAAAUACUGCUUAUCUUUUCUCCAGAGGAGGAUGACAAGUUAUGUGCAAAUAUAUACUAUGAUAUGAAAGGAUCAUUUCAGAUGACAAAAAUUUAAUGACAACUGGAAACUUUGGUCUGCUGAGAUCAACUCAAUUUUUCUCUACUGUAUAAUGCUUUGUUUGAAUUUACCUGUUCUGUCCCAGUGUUAGGGAAAAUACAUGCAGUGUUUUAGGCAAAGAGGGUUGACCUCAAGACAGUAUUAUUAACCUUGCAUAUAAAAUGAGAACUCUCCAAGUGCUUAACUUUUAUGUUUCUUUCUUAAUGCAAAUUAUACUGGAUUAGCUUUGCUCCAUAUUCGAGCAAUACUGCAUUCCUGUGUUUAAAAGUCCUGUGCUAUGCAGAAGAAUUCAUACUGAUUCUUUUCUAAAAGGUUAGCUAAUUCUGUUUUUCGCUGGAGUUGUUUUUUUUAAAUUAUGAACAUAGUUGAAUAUUCCUCAGUCACUUACUAUCAAAGAGUACAAUUCUUUCAUUUCAUAGCAAAGAAUUGUAAUCAUGGUUCCCUGGGCCAAUCCCAAAUGUGCAAGACAGCUGCUACAUUAGCUAGUAUAUACCUGAGAAUAUUCAAUACAUUGACUUCUAAGCGACAACUAGAAAGUGUGAAUGCUAACAGAGGAAAAUGCUGAAGAAUCCUGGAGGGACUGCAGGCAUGGGCAAGGCCGUGUUGGAGCAGGUUUACUUCUGGAGGGACUGCAGCUGUGGGUAAGGCCAUGCUGGAGCAGGUAUAUCUCUGAAAGCACUGAGGCUCAUGCAGAAGGCCACGCUGGAACAGGUGCACCUCAAAGCGACUGUAGCUCUGGAUAAGUCUAUGCUGCAGCACAUGUAUCCCUGGAGAGACUGUGGCUCCUGGGUAAGGCUCCACUUGGAGCAGGUACAACCCUAAAGGACUGCAGUCUGUGGAUAAGUCCAAACCAGAGCAGGGGCAAGGGGAGGAGUUCAUUACAAUGUUAAACCUGAUGGUCUGUUCCAAAUGGACCAGGGGUGGAGAUUGUAAUGGAAAUACCUUUAAAUUGUUGUAACUCAGGAUUUGAGUUACAUGUUAUGGAAAUUACUAUAGCAGAAACCCCUUGUUGCUAGCCAGGCUGGGAGCAAGGGGAGGAGUUCAUUGCAAUGUCAAAACCUAUAACCUGGCCCAAAGGGGCCAGGGGUGGAGAUUGUAAUGGAUAUACCUUUAAAUUGCUGUAACUUGUGAUUCGAGUUGCAUGUUACAGGAAUUACUGCAGCAGGAACCACCUGAACUAAUGGAGGACAAGCCUUUCAAGAAGCAGUGCAAGUGCAGCAGUGACCCGACCUGAGCUGGUUUUGGUGCCCAGUAACUCCAUGCAACACACCACCUCUCCUGUCCUGAGUGACCACAAGAACAGAUGGAGACCAAAGCCGUGGACUAAAUGAUAUCCGUGUAUUUUAUCAAAGGAUGGGAAUGGGGGUGGAGGUUAAUGAGGUUGUAUUGGAUAGUGUAGAACCUGAGCAUGAUGUAAAUGGUAUGGAAUAAAGGGUGGAUACUGUUCUUGUUUCAGCUGGGAUAGAGUUAAAUUUCUUUGUAGUAGCUGGUAUGGGGCUGUGUUUUGCAUUUUUGCUGGAAACAGCGGUGAUAACGUGGAGAUGUUUUAGUUGUUGCUAAGUAGCGCUUACACUGGUCAAGGACUUUUGCAGCUCCCCGUGCUCUGCUGGGUGCACAAGAAGCUGGGAGGGGGCACAGCCAGGACAGCUGACCCAAACUGGCUAACGGGAUAUUCCAUACCAUAUGACAUCAUGUUCAGUAUAUAAAGCUGGGGGAGAAGGAGGAAGGGGGGGAUGUUUGGAGUGAUGGCGUUUGUCUUCCCAAGUAACCGUUACGCGUGAUGAAGCCCUGCUUUCCUGGAGAUGGCUGAACACCUGCCUGCCCAUGGGAAGUAGGGAAUGAAUUCCUUGUUUUGCUUUGCUUCUGCGCGCAGCUUUUGCUUUACCUGUUAAACUGUCUUUAUCUCAAACCAUGAGUUACCUCACUUUUACUCUUCUGAUUCUCUCCCCAUCCCACCAGGGGGGAGUGAGCAAGCGGCUGCAUGGUGCUUGGCUGCUGACUGGGGCUAAACCACGACAACACGGUUCACAGUUAGUCUGAAAUUUAAAAGUGAUCAAUGCCCAAGAAAUACCUGCUUUAGAGUUUCUAGAACUGAGGGAACUGGGAGAGGUAGGAAUUCUGUGAAGAUUCUGAACCCACCUCUGAGUCAGUGAAAGAAAGAAAAUGAAAACACUUCCAACUUUUACUUUAUGUACUGAGAAAUGUUUACUACAUAAUCUUACAAUAUACAAAUUAAGGUUUUGCUUUUAAUUUCAUUUGUACCAUCCAAAUUCCUGUUUACCUCACUGCUUCUACUCCUAGUAAAAUAGUUUCAUUUUAAUUCUGAAAGCAUCGUAGUGGAUUUAUACAUUUAUUGUGAUUAUGAUAUUCCCAGCAGUGACAGACAGAACUACAACGAAUUCUGAAUGCACCCAUUAAUCCACACAAAAAUGUCAGAAUCAGGUUAUUUUCUCUAGCAAAUACAGAAAUUGACAAUGAUGUAAUUACUAAUUUGAAAUAUCUGAAUUUGCAUCUAGGUAAAUGUGAAGAAAAUUAAGCCCCUUGCUGUUUGUUCCUGGAGGAAAAUCAGCAUUAAGUAAUGCAACUCAAUUCAGGAAAAAUAACUGGUCAACUAUUAUUAACUGUUCUUUGUAAAUAAAACACAAGUUUUUCCUCCUAUGCUUAUAUUAGAAUUUAAUCACCCUUGAAAAGAUCUCAUACCAAAAUGAGUAAUUGCUACAAACAACAGAAACAAAAGCAAACAACAAAAAGAUGUUUAGUGGAAAAUGCAAUACCUCUCUUUAGUUUCAGUGGCUUUCCCAGCAACUUUGGGUGCUGAUUUGUUUCCUCCAGAAGAAAAACUGAUAAUAAAGCCGGUUAUCUCUUGAUUCAAUCCCACUUAUUUCCAAAGAAAUAAAAAGAUAUAUAUUCUGAGGAAUAUACAAGCAAUUUUAUCUUUCUUUUAUAGCAGAAGAACAAGAAAAUUAUGGUAAUUCUUCUCUAGCAGUUCUACAUUCUGAAUUCCUUUCUCUCCAGUUCCUUAAUGUGCCAUCUACUUAUGUAUAAUCACAUCUAAAUAAAGAGAAACAUGAAACUCAUCAGUCUUCCUCUGACAAACAGAUUAGACCACGUGUAGUUUAAGUGUCACAGGACAUUUUUCCAUUUUUCUUCCUAAUUCUUGAUUCUAGUUAAAAUACUUGGGCCCUAUUACUGACAAAAGGAUCUCCAGGAUGGCUUCACUGAUUAGAAAGCCAGGAAGGGCUGUUGUGUCCCCUUUCCUGACUGAUUCUAGAAUAGACCCUUGGCUGCCUAAUCAACAUAGAACAAAGAGUUUCUUAGAAUUAAU